rnacentral:misc_RNA from 1 species
UUCAGAUGAUGAUCCCAAGCCUUCUGGCGGUCUACGCAAAAUAAGCUCUCAUCAAAAGAUUUAAGGAAAGCUCUUUAUGUUUUUUAAAUGAUGCUUUUAUGGGAGAGUGCUUUUUUAAGAUAAUGCUGGGGAAGGUUUUCCGGUUUAUCUCGGAGGGCUUGUAGCUCAGUUGGUUAGAGCGCGCGCUUGAUAAGCGUGAGGUCGGAGGUUCAAGUCCUCCCAGGCCCACCAAUUUAUCUAUCCAUUUGCCUUUAUCCGUUUAUUUGCUGUUUUAUCGGUCCGUUUGUUAAGUGUUGGCAACAGUUUUUGUAAUGAUGAAAAACAGUCCUGCUUAUAUAAAGACCUACUUAUAAAAGGCUUGUUUUUAACAUGUGACGCUUAUUCAUUCCGCUUAGGCAAGAGAAACUUCAGGCGGUUCAAACGCAAAACACUUUGAAUUUUGCAAAACAAUUUGCGUUUUGAAGUGAUUCAAGUUCGUGAUUUCGACUUUAAAAGUUUCGAAUGCUUUAUCCUUUUUUAGGGGCCGUAGCUCAGCUGGGAGAGCACCUGCUUUGCAAGCAGGGGGU